UACAGAGGGUGCGAGCGUUAAUCGGAAUUACUGGGCGUAAAGCGCACGUAGGCGGCUUUGCAAGUCGGGUGUGAAAUCCCCGGGCUCAACCUGGGAACUGCAUCCGAGACUGCAUUGCUAGAGUAUGGGAGAGGGAAGCGGAAUUUCUGGUGUAGCAGUGAAAUGCGUAGAUAUCAGAAGGAACAUCAGUGGCGAAGGCGGCUUCCUGGACCAAUACUGACGAUCAGGUGCGAAAGCGUGGGGAGCAAACAGG
rnacentral:rRNA from 1 species